CCUACGGGAGGCUGCAGUGGGGAAUAUUGCACAAUGGGGGAAACCCUGAUGCAGCGACGCCGCGUGAGUGAAGAAGUACUUCGGUAUGUAAAGCUCUAUCAGCAGGGAAGAAAUAGCGACCUUUGGGUCGCCAGACGGUACCUGAUUAAGAAGCCCCGGCUAAAUACGUGCCAGCAGCCGCGGUAUUACGUAGGGGGCAAGCGUUAUCCGGAUUUACUGGGUGUAAAGGGAGCGUAGACGGGGGCGCAAGUCUGAAGUGAAAUGGCGGGGCUGAACCCCGGAACUGCUGUGGAAACUGUGCGGCUAGAGUGCGGGAGAGGUAAGUGGAAUUCCUAGUGUAGCGGUGAAAUGCGUAGAUAUUAGGAGGAACACCGGUGGCGAAGGCGGCUUACUGGACUGGAACUGACGUUGAGGCUCGAAAGCGUGGGGAGCGAACAGGAUUAGAUACCCUUGUAGUC
rnacentral:rRNA from 1 species